CCUCUCUCUAAACUCAGCUGGUGAAAAAGAAAAAAAAGUUUAGACGAAGAAAGAGCAAAAGACAGAAAAAUAACACGAAAACUAAGGAAAAAAUGUUGCUCUCUCGAUCGGGCGCAGCGUGGAAUGCGAACCCUAACAAGUCUUAUGUGGGGCCAGAAUAUUUUCUAAAUUGUUGCAUUUUUGUUGCUUAGCAAGUCUUAUGAGAGGGUUGAGUUUACAGAAAUAAAUAGCCCUAUGCGAGGUCACACAGCAGAAAAUGUGAACCCUAACAAGUCUUUGAGAGGGCUGAGUUUACAGAAAUAAGUUGUGCUUUCUUGGAUCGGUGCAGUGGGGAAUGUGAACCCUAACAAGUUUUAUGAGGUUCUAAGCUUUUGGGGCAUAAGCAUAACUGAAUUUAGUUUGGUUGAAAUUUUCUGAAUAUUCGCUGUCACGUGUGAUCCUUCUCCGCUUCCGAAUAAACAUCACCGACCUCCAAUCCUUUAUCAGGAAUGAGUCGAUCCUGAAGUAUCACCCUAACCUUGAUCAGGGCGAUUGCAGUGGGUGCGGGCGAUUGCAGUGGGUGCAACAUCUGCCUCAAAGUAGGGAGCUACUGGACCAUUUGCCUGUGCAGUCAAAAGAUAUCCAGCAUGAGCUUAACUUUAAAAAUAUGACAGUCCGGGAUUGCAACGUGGUAAAUGUGAACCCCAAACCUUACAAGUUUAAGAUCUCUAGCCUUAGUUUCUGUCCCAAGGCAAAUUACUUGAUGGCUGCUUCUUGGGAUAACCAGGUUUUUUAGGUUAAUAGACCUUAAUUUUAUGAGUUCUGCAAUAACUUUGAUACCAUACAUCUGCUACCUGGAUGUUAUUAUGGCUCUUCUGGUUUUGCUUUGAAUGAUGGGCAGGUUAGGUUCGUGGAGAUUAUGACAGGCAACAGUGAGGCGAAGGCCGCCAUACGCCUUGACCAACUGGUUCUGUGCUCUACUUGGAAGGAUGAUGGCUCCAAGUGUUCACCGGAGGAUGUGAUGAGAAUGUCAAAAUGUGGCCCUUGAUAUGUGCCAUGUGGUGGCCAGCCUAUGUCAUUCACCUGUCAAUGAAGUUACUUGGAUUGAACAGUUGACUUACCUCGCCACAGGAAACUGCGAUAAGACUUUGA